GUACACGCUGUGACUAGCAUAUCAAUAAGCGGAGGAAAAGAAACUAACAAGGAUUCCCCUAGUAACGGCGAGUGAAGCGGGAAGAGCUCAAAUUUGAAAUCUUAAAGGGUUUCCCUUUACGAAUUGUAGUUUAAAGAAGUGUUUUCUGUUGAGGUUUUGGUAAAAGUUCUUUGGAAUAGGACAUCAUAGAGGGUGAGAAUCCCGUAUUUGACCUUUACUUUCAACUUUGUGAUACACUUUCAAAGAGUCGGAUUGUUUGGGUAUGCAGUCCAAAAUGGGUGGUAAAUUUCAUCUAAAGUUAAAUAUUGGCGAGAGACCGAUAGCGGACAAGUACCGUGAGGGAAAGAUGAAAAGAACUUUGAAAGGAGAGUUAAACAGUACGUGAAAUUGUCAAAAGGGAAGCGUUUGACACCAGUGUUGUUUUUCUGAAAAUCAAUUAAAGAACUGUUUAUGCUAAGCUGUUUAGACUUUAUCAGCUAUCUGUUUAGUUUUGAGCUUUUCUUUAAUGCACUUUUCAGUUAACAAGUCAACAUCAAUUUCUUUUGCUGUAAAAAAGCUUGAGGAAGGUGGCUUGAGAUUCGUCUUAAGUGUUUAUAGCCUCUUGCCUAUGCAGUCGGAGAGAUUGAGGUCUGCAGCGUAGAUCCUUCGGGGCUAAAUGCAUUUGUGCUAAGUUAUAGCAUUUUAUAGACAACUUGUUGACUAUGAUUUGUCUUGUAGCUUACUCGCUUAUGUUAUUUUACCUACGCUUAGGAUGUUGAAGAUGUAGCACAUCAU
rnacentral:rRNA from 1 species